rnacentral:lncRNA from 1 species
CUCUAUCUCAUCUUUUUGCCCAAAGAUGUACCUGUAAGGUCUAAUAUUGAUAGGGUUGGAUCCUGGCAAUAGUGGUAUUUGAUGAUCCUAUGGUCUGUUAGGUGGCAAAUCCUUAGAUUCUUGGAAUACAUCUGAGUACUGCUCUAGCACCUCCUUCACUGAAGAAGGUAUCUCCGCUUCGACUUUGUCUCCCUCAGAAUUCACCC